GCCGACGUAGCUCAGCCGGUAGAGCAGCGGUUUCGUAAACCGCCGGUCGGCAGUUCGAGUCUGCCCGUCGGCUCCG
rnacentral:tRNA from 1 species